rnacentral:rRNA from 1 species
GUGGGGAAUCUUCCGCAAUGGACGAAAGUCUGACGGAGCAACGCCGCGUGAGUGAAGAAGGUUUUCGGAUCGUAAAGCUCUUUCGUUAGGGACGAACGUGCUCUUUGUGAAUAAUGAGGAGUAAUGACGGUACCUAAAUAAGAAGCCACGGCUAACUACGUGCCAGCAGCCGCGGUAAUACGUAGGUGGCAAGCGUUGUCCGGAAUUAUUGGGCGUAAAGCGCGCGCAGGCGGGAUAUCAAGUCUGUCUUAAAAGUGCGAGGCUCAACCUCGUGAGGGGACAGAAACUGGUAUUCUUGAGUGUCGGAGAGGAAAGUGGAAUUCCAAGUGUAGCGGUGAAAUGCGUAGAGAUUUGGAAGAACACCAGUGGCGAAGGCGACUUUCUGGACGAUGUCUGACGCUGAGGCGCGAAAGUGUGGGGAGCAAACAGGAUUAGAAACCCCAGUAGUCC